GACCUCCCAGGAUCGUAUCUGGAAAAUAGCUCGUAUUCUGCCAGCUUUGGAGACAACAGGGAAACAAGCCCAUCAGAUCCAUUCCAUUCCCCGUUUUCUCAGUAGCUGGUGCUUGGAAGAGACUCUGCGACAGUG
rnacentral:snoRNA from 1 species